UACUCUCACACUCUCUGAUCCUUUGGAUUCAGGAAGUGGUGGACUUGGGUGUUUGCUGCUUUCCUUGUGGCUCACCUCAAAUGCGUCAGUGCACCUCUUGGUUGGACAUAGUACGGCGUGAUAAGUAUCUUCGCCGGCACCUCGUGAGAGGGUGGCCGAUCGGGAGCUCUGUGCUUUCAAACCGUCUUCGGACAAUCUCUGACAAC
rnacentral:misc_RNA from 1 species